rnacentral:lncRNA from 1 species
GGAUGCCCUUACUGAUGUAUGUCCCUAAGUCAGUGAGAUUCUACAGUGGGCAAGUGAAGGAGGGGGACAAAUUUAUGAGGGCUCAACCCACACCCAGAGCGUGUCUGUGGGGCAUAUGAUGGACCUAUCCCAGGAACUGAUGGAAUAGAGAUGGCUGUGUUGCAUCAUCCUCCUGAUUGCUGGGGAACAUCUCCCAGCAUUUGAGCGAUUGGAGAGAAGACUAUGGGGCACAAAAUGGCCUCAUCCGGUUUACAUCUUCAUUACUGUGCUUCUCACAUACCUGCUUACAUCUGGAAAAAAUCUCCAGGAUAAUUUUUGAGGGAAGAAGGAGAUGAAAAGGGCAUUACUCUGCCAUCUUCAAAACCAUGCUGUAUUUAAAGAGUUUUCAAAAUUGAUUGCUCAGAGAGCUUUGAAGAAUGAUCCCAGCCUCCAAGGAGUUUAUAUUCCUAAGCACAGCCUCUUCAAUUUUGGGAUACUUUCCAAUGAGAGGUGAUGGAUAGCUGCUCAAAGAAGAGGAGUUGUUUGGGUUAAAUGAGAUAUUAGACAUUUGGAGUGUUGAUCAACACAGGGCAUUUCUAACCAGCCCAUGAAGACAGAGAAGUCAGAACAAACAUCUGUCUUUUGUGAAAAUUAUUCCUUGACCUUUGGUUCUGUUGGUUUUCUUAUCCCUAAAAAG